AGGGGCAGCAUUUCAGUUUGCUUGCAAACUGGAGAUGGCGACCGGCGCACGGGUGAGUAACACGUAUCCAACCUGCCGAUAACUCGGGGAUAGCCUUUCGAAAGAAAGAUUAAUAUCCGAUGGCAUAUUUCUCCCGCAUGAGAGAGAUAUUAAAGAAUUUCGGUUAUCGAUGGGGAUGCGUUCCAUUAGUUUGUUGGCGGGGUAACGGCCCACCAAGACUACGAUGGAUAGGGGUUCUGAGAGGAAGGUCCCCACAUUGGAACUGAGACACGGUCCAAACUCC
rnacentral:rRNA from 1 species